CUCAAACAAGGGUGCUUGUAUGGAAAGGUCUUCUUGCCAUUUGGUGAUUGAUUUGCAGGGAUAUGCCUCUGGCCAUCGUGAAAAGCAAACUGCUAUGACAAGCAAAUCCAGGAGGUAUAAAGCUUCCAGCAAGAGUCAUCUGAACAGGCUGAGAAUAGGAAGAACCAGCAGCAGCAGUGGCAGCAAUUUGUGUGUAAAGGGGAGGGAGUAGAGUGCUUGGAAGCAGACGAGGGGGCCCCUGGUCAUCAUCGUGACUUGACUGCUCAGAUUCCUAUUUGACUUGCUAAGGAUAUGAGGGUACCCAGUCACUGAUGUCAUCCCAACAAAUUUUACUAGGGAAACAGUGUAUCCUACAGGAGGAGAUACACAGUCAUCACUUUCAGGCACUCAUUUGAUUUUUUCACAUUUCCCUUAUCCAAAUUCUAUUGACCAUUCUAUCGCUUAUUAGCUUCUGUCAACCAUAUUUACAGACUUCCUGCAUUUAUCUCAAUGUCUUCCAAAUCCUUAAUUUUAAUUGUUUUGUUCUUCAAUUAUUUUCAUUAGGAACAUAUUGUUAUACAAGUUGCACAUAUUUGUA